rnacentral:rRNA from 1 species
UAGUUAUAUGCUUGUCUCAAAGAUAUAAGCCAUGCAAGUGUAAGUAUAAACCAUAUUAUGGUGAGACUGCGAAUGGCUCAUUAAAUCAGUUAUAGUUUAUUUGAUAGAUUUUUUAUAUAUAAUUUGAUAAGUUAUUUUAUUAAUUAUAUUUACUACUUGGAUAACCGUAGUAAUUCUGGGGCUAAUACAUGCAAUAAAUCCCUGUUUUUCUAUUUAUAUUAUUUUUGUUAAAGAAAAUGAGGAAAAAUAUUAUAUUUACAAUAUAUUAAAGGGAGUAUUUAUUAGUAAUAUCUUUAUUAAGAAAGAUGACUCAUAAUAACUUAGCGAAUCGUAUUACCUAUAUACAAUCAAUCAUUAUAUAUUUUUAUAUUUUAUAUAUUUGGAGAUUGUAUUUUGAGUAGACGAUGAAUCAUUCAAAUUUCUGCCCUAUCAAUUUAGGAAGGUUGUGUAGUGGACAACGAUGAUUAUAACGGGUAACGGACGAUUGGGGUCGGAUUCCGGAGAAGGAGCCUGAGAAACGGCUACUACAUCCAAGGAAGGCAGCAGGCGCGCAAAUUACCCAAUGUUAAAAUAACGAGGUAGUGACAAGAAAUACUAAUUAGGGAUGUUUUAUAAUCACAUCUUUUUUAUUGGAAUGAAGUAAUUUUAAAUCCCUUACUGAUAAUCAAUUAGAGGGCAAGUCUGGUGCCAGCAGCCGCGGUAAUUCCAGCUCUAAUAGUGUAUACUAAAGUUGUUGCAGUUAAAAAGCUCGUAGUUGUUUUUAUUUUUUUUUUAAUUUAUAAUGAAAAAAAAAAAGAUUAUAUAAAAAAUAAUUUUAUUAUAAUUUUUAAAUUUUUAAAUGAGAAUAAAAUAGUUUUUGUGGAGAUUCAAAAACAAAACAAAAAUUAUUUUAUUUUUAUUUUUAUAUUAUUUAAAAAUUAAAAUUUUAAAAUGAAAUUUUUAUAUAAUCUAAAUUAAAAAUCAAAAGAAAUUUAUUUUUUUUUUUAAAUAUAAAAAAUAAAUAUUUUACUUUGAAUAAAAUAGAGUGUUCAAAGCAAGUUAAAAUGAAAGAAUUAUUUUUUAUUUUUUAUUUUAUUUAUAAAAAAUAAGAAAUAAUUUAAUUAUUUAAAUAAUAAUUUAGCUAUGAAUAAAUUAGCAUGGAAUAAUAGAAUAAGACUUUUUAUAAUGAAAAAAAAAAGAUUAUAAAAAGUAAUGAAAAAUGGAGACAGAAUCGGGGGUGAUAAAAUUUAAUAGUCAGAGGUGAAAUUCAAUGAUUUAUUAAAGAUUAACAGAAGCGAAAGCGUUCACCAAGUAUGUUCUCAUCAAUCAAGAACGAAAGUUAGGGGAUCGAAGACGACUAGAUACCGUCGUAGUCCUAACCAUAAACGAUGCCAACUAGGGAUUGGAAACUAAUAAUUUUUCAAAAAUAAUUUUUAUAUAUAUUUUAUAUAAAAAUUAAGAAAACUUUCAGAACCUUGUGAGAAAUCAUAAGUAUAUGGGCUCUGGGGGGAGUAUGGACGCAAGUCUGAAACUUAAAGGAAUUGACGGAAGGGCACCACCAGGAGUGGAGCUUGUGGCUUAAUUUGACUCAACGCGGGGAAACUUACCAGAUCAGGACAUAAUAAGGACUGACAGAUUAAAAGCUCUUUCAUGAUUUUAUGGAUGGUGGUGCAUGGCCGUUUUUAGUUCGUGGAGUGAUUUGUCUGUGUUAAUUCCGUAAACGAGCGAGACCUUUACUUACUAACUAAUUAAAUAUUUUUUUAAAUUUAAUAAAAGUAAUUUAAUUUCUUAGAAGGACUAUUCAUUUUUUAAUGAAAGGAAGAUAAAGGCAACAACAGGUCCGUGAUGCC